rnacentral:rRNA from 1 species
UAACGCGUGAGGAACCUGCCUCAAAGAGGGGGACAACAGUUGGAAACGACUGCUAAUACCGCAUAAGCCCACAGCUCGGCAUCGAGCAGAGGGAAAAGGAGUGAUCCGCUUUGAGAUGGCCUCGCGCCCGAUUAGCUAGUUGGUGAGGUAAUGGCCCACCAAGGCGACGAUCGGUAGCCGGACUGAGAGGUUGAACGGCCACAUUGGGACUGAGACACGGCCCAG